rnacentral:tRNA from 1 species
GCCCGGGUAGCUCAGUCGGUUAAGCAUCUGCCUUCAGCUCAGGUCAUGACCUCACGGUUCAGUUCGUGAGUUCAAGCCUCACAUCAGGCU